rnacentral:rRNA from 1 species
AUUGAACGCUGGCGGCAUGCCUUACACAUGCAAGUCGAACGGUAACAGGUCUUCGGAUGCUGACGAGUGGCGAACGGGUGAGUAAUACAUCGGAACGUGCCCGAUCGUGGGGGAUAACGAAGCGAAAGCUUUGCUAAUACCGCAUAAGAUCUACGGAUGAAAGCAGGGGACCGCAAGGCCUUGCGCGAACGGAGCGGCCGAUGGCAGAUUAGGUAGUUGGUGGGAUAAAAGCUUACCAAGCCGACGAUCUGUAGCUGGUCUGAGAGGACGACCAGCCACACUGGGACUGAGACACGGCCCAGACUCCUACGGGAGGCAGCAGUGGGGAAUUUUGGACAAUGGGCGAAAGCCUGAUCCAGCCAUGCCGCGUGCAGGAUGAAGGCCUCCGGGUUGUAAACUGCUUUUGUACGGAACGAAAAGACUCUGGUUAAUACCUGGGGUCCAUGACGGUACCGUAAGAAUAAGCACCGGCUAACUACGUG